AAGACUUUAAGUUAAACAAACUAAAGGCCUUCAAAGCCUUCAAUGAUACCUUAUCAAGUCUUG
rnacentral:tRNA from 1 species